rfam:Burkholderia andropogonis strain ICMP2807 contig00092, whole genome shotgun sequence.
CGCUUUUUUCGCCCAGGCGGGGCUCGACCGCCGACUGAAGUCCUGAAGGCGUUUGUCGAUCAGCAUCGCGACACGUUCGGGGUCGGGCCGAUCUGCAAAGUCUUGCAGAUUGCCACG